rnacentral:rRNA from 1 species
UGAAGAUGCAGUGUACCCGCGGCAAGACGGAAAGACCCCGUGAACCUUUACUAUAGCUUGACACUGAACAUUGAGCCUUGAUGUGUAGGAUAGGUGGGAGGCUUUGAAGUGUGGACGCCAGUCUGCAUGGAGCCGACCUUGAAAUACCACCCUUUAAUGUUUGAUGUUCUAACGUGGACCCGUUACCCGGGUUGCGGACAGUGUCUGGUGGGUAGUUUGACUGGGGCGGUCUCCUCCUAAAGAGUAACGGAGGAGCACGAAGGUUGGCUAAUCCUGGUCGGACAUCAGGAGGUUAGUGCAAUGGCAUAAGCCAGCUUGACUGCGAGCGUGACGGCGCGAGCAGGUGCGAAAGCAGGUCAUAGUGAUCCGGUGGUUCUGAAUGGAAGGGCCAUCGCUCAACGGAUAAAAGGUACUCCGGGGAUAACAGGCUGAUACCGCCCAAGAGUUCAUAUCGACGGCGGUGUUUGGCACCUCGAUGUCGGCUCAUCACAUCCUGGGGCUGAAGUAGGUCCCAAGGGUAUGGCUGUUCGCCAUUUAAAGUGGUACGCGAGCUGGGUUUAGAACGUCGUGAGACAGUUCGGUCCCUAUCUGCCGUGGGCGCUGGAGAACUGAGGGGGGCUGCUCCUAGUACGAGAGGACCGGAGUGGACGCAUCACUGGUGUUCGGGUUGUCAUGCCAAUGGCACUGCCCGGUAGCUAAAUGCGGAAGAGAUAAGUGCUGAAAGCAUCUAAGCACGAAACUUGCCCCGAG